UGCUCACCUGGCGCGCUCCGCCCGGCUGGGCGUCCGCAGGCCCCUCCCCCGGGUGCGGUCUCAAAGCGGCCACGUGGCAGUGCAGGUGAGGCGGCCUCCGGCCGGGGGUCGACCUAGCUCUGCCACCGCUUCCGCCUCCGCCUCCGUCUCCGCCUACCCGCCCCCCCCCGGGGGCAGAACCCGUAAGCCGAAGCCGCGGCAGGUCUGCGGUCUGCAUCACAGAGGCGGGGCCGGGGGCGAGCACUCUGUGCGUGUGUGCACACAGCGUCCGUCUUUGGAGGUCGGCUGUCUGGAUGCCUGUCGGUGGAGAGCAUUGGCUAAUGUGGACCAAAAUGAGAGCCCUUCAGGUCGGGCCCACCUGUCCCAUCAGCCUCUCUGGACUCAGCCUCCCGGGUUUGUCCACAACAGCCUCUGUCAGUGCUGCUCAAGGCGCCGGUCCACACGGAGGGCCCCUGAAUCUGGAUUAUAGAAGUCUGUGAUCUGUGGGGGCCCAAGUCAUGGAAGCACUUGGCUCACUGACGUCUACACAUGCACGCAGCUGUUUAGUGCAGGGAUUGCCCCCACCACGUGUGCAUAUGCUCGGGGCACCACGAGCCGUGGCUUCAUGGGAUUCCAAGAGCCUUUGGCCCCUAAAAUCAAGUUAGCCCCCCAUACCCCAUGCUCAGAGAGGCACCAACACCCAUUCCAGGCUGGAGGAAAAUCUCUUACAUGUGGCUACAGAGAGACAGCCUGUAUGGCCCAGUGAGGUGCCUUUCUAAGGGACUUUCAAGGGGGAUUGCCCAGAGCCACAAACUUCUGAACCCAACCAGAACCUUACACCCUUCAGGGCAGCUUGCCUCCAUCAUCACAACAGAGCUGUGAUGGGGCCUGGGAAGAUACAUAACAAGUUCUGGUUCUGGCUGCGGGCCUUCUGGCCCAGACCAAGAGAGUGCCCGACCCACGGCUUCCGGAAGUGCCACCUUCCUCGGUAACUCGGGGGAUGCCGAUGAGCCCAGCAGCAUCCUCGAAGUCACCCAGCUCCUUUCAGACCCGUGUUCAGAUUUCCAGACCCUAGCAAUGCCCAGGAGGGUACUGGGUCCGCGCCUGGAGUGCACGUGACGAAUGACCACAGUACAGGGCUACCGCAUGUACAUGAAGAAGUGCCAUGGGAGGAAAGAGGAGGGAGACAGUACCCACCCUGUGGCUCCCCGAGGAGGUGGCUCCAGAGACACACCUUCAGCACCUGUUCACAGAGAUAGAACACAGAUGAGGAAACAGGCUUCAAGAGGAAGACCCUUGCCCCAAAAUCAGCAGAGGCAGAACAGAAGAGGGACAAAGAAGCAGACACGUCCUCUCCCUGGGGUUCUUAAAGGAGUGGGCUUUUCCAGACCGUGUUUCCUCCCUGCUCACCAAAAGGCUGGAAGCUUUGCCGUGGACUUUUCAGGGCGAGACGUUAAUGAUGGUGAUCUAGACUGGAUCUCACAUAAUUCUCUCCUAAUUCUCCCGUUCACAAGAAAUAAACAAACAUGAAAUCCCUGAACAUCAAAGCCGUUUCCUGUUAGAGACCCCAAACAACCCAUCAACUGGCCAGUAGAUGGCGCCAAAGGUUAGUCACUGCCUAUGGGCCCAGGGGCUCUAACCCGGUGCCUUCGCACACGUGCUCAUGGCCUUUCCAUACCUAG